UACGUAGGGGGCAAGCGUUGUCCGGAAUCAUUGGGCGUAAAGCGCGUGUAGGCGGCUCGAUAAGUCUGCUGUGAAAGUUCAGGGCUCAACCCUGAAAUGCCGGUGGAAACUGUCGAGCUAGAGUCCGGAGGAGGCGAGUGGAAUUCCUGGUGUAGCGGUGAAAUGCGCAGAUAUCAGGAGGAACACCAAUGGCGAAGGCAGCUCGCUGGGACGGUACUGACGCUGAGACGCGAAAGCGUGGGGAGCAAACAGG
rnacentral:rRNA from 1 species